rnacentral:rRNA from 1 species
AGUGAACGCUGGCGGUAGGCCUAACACAUGCAAGUCGAACGGCAGCACAGUAAGAGCUUGCUCUUACGGGUGGCGAGUGGCGGACGGGUGAGGAAUACAUCGGAAUCUACUUUUUCGUGGGGGAUAACGUAGGGAAACUUACGCUAAUACCGCAUCCGACCUACGGUUGAAAGCAGGGGAUCUUCGGACCUUGCGCGAUUGAAUGAGCCGAUGUCGGAUUAGCUAGUUGGCGGGGUAAAGGCCCACCAAGGCGACGAUCCGUAGCUGGUCUGAGAGGAUGAUCAGCCACACUGGAACUGAGACACGGUCCAGACUCCUAAGGGAGGCAGCAGUGGGGAAUAUUGGACAAUGGGCGCAAGCAUGAUCCAGCCAUACCGCGUGGGUGAAGAAGGCCUUCGGGUUGUAAAGCCCUUUUGUUGGGAAAGAAAAGCAGCAGGUUAAUACCACGCUGUUCUGACGGUACCCAAAGAAUAAGCACCGGCUAACUUCGUG